rnacentral:rRNA from 1 species
AGUGAACGCUGGCGGUAGGCCUAACACAUGCAGGUCGAACGGCAGCACAGUAAGAGCUUGCUCUUACGGGUGGCGAGUGGCGGACGGGUGAGGAAUACAUCGGAAUCUACUUUUUCGUGGGGGAUAACGUAGGGAAACUUACGCUAAUACCGCAUACGACCUACGGGUGAAAGCAGGGGAUCUUCGGACCUUGCGCGAUUGAAUGAGCCGAUGUCGGAUUAGCUAGUUGGCGGGGUAAAGGCCCACCAAGGCGACGAUCCGUAGCGGGUCUGAGAGGAUGAUCAGCCACACUGGAACUGAGACACGGUCCAGACUCCUACGGGAGGCAGCAGUGGGGAAUAUUGGACAAUGGGCGCAAGCCUGAUCCAGCCAUACCGCGUGGGUGAAGAAGGCCUUCGGGUUGUAAAGCCCUUUUGUUGGGAAAGAAAAGCAGCAGGUUAAUACCCCGCUGUUCUGACGGUACCCAAAGAAUAAGCACCGGCUAACUUCGUG